rnacentral:rRNA from 1 species
CCCCUAGAUGUUCUGGGCCGCACGCGCGCUACACUGAACAGUUCAACAAGUCUUAACCUUGGCCGAUAGGUCUGGGUAAUCUUUGAACGCUGUUCGUGAUUGGGAUAGACCUUUGCAAUUAUGGGUCUUCAACGAGGAAUUCCUAGUAAACGCAAGUCAUCAGCUUGCAUUGAUUACGUCCCUGCCCUUUGUACACACCGCCCGUCGCACCUACCGAUUGAAUGGUCCGGUGAAAUCUCGGGACGGCGGCUUGGUCGCUUGCGUCCGACUGCUGAAACUUGAUUAAACCAUAUCAUUUAGAGGAAGGUGAANUCGUANCU